GACGAACGCUGGCGGCGUGCUUAACACAUGCAAGUCGAACGAUGAAGCCGGAGCUUGCUCUGGUGAAUUAGUGGCGAACGGGUGAGUAACACGUGAGUAACCUGCCCUUGACUCUGGGAUAACUGCUAGAAAUGGUAGCUAAUACCGGAUACGACCCUCGGAGGCAUCUCCAGGGGGUGGAAAGAAUUUCGGUCAAGGAUGAACUCGCGGCCUAUCAGCUAGUUGGUGAGGUAACGGCUCACCAAGGCGACGACGGGUAGCCGGCCGGAGAGGUUGGCCGGCCACACUGGGACAGAGACAGGGCCCAGACUCCUACUGGAGGCAGCAGUGGGGAAUAUUGCACAAUGGGCGCAAGCCUGAUGCAGCAUCGCCGCGUGAGGGAGGACGGCCUUCGGGUUGUAAACCUCUUUUAGUAGGGAAGAAGCGAAAGUGACGGCACCUGCAGAAAAAGCACCGGCUAACUACGUGCCAGCCGCCGCAGUAA
rnacentral:rRNA from 1 species